UACAGAGGGUGCAAGCGUUAAUCGGAAUUACUGGGCGUAAAGCGCACGUAGGUGGUUUGUUAAGUUGGAUGUGAAAGCCCCGGGCUCAACCUGGGAACUGCAUCCAAAACUGGCAAGCUAGAGUACAGUAGAGGGUGGUGGAAUUUCCUGUGUAGCGGUGAAAUGCGUAGAUAUAGGAAGGAACACCAGUGGCGAAGGCGACCACCUGGACUGAUACUGACACUGAGAGACGAAAGCUAGGGGAGCAAAUGGG
rnacentral:rRNA from 1 species